UCCCGGCAGUCCAAGUUGCAUCCCAUUAUUGGGUCUAAAACAUCCGUAGCUCGUUUGUUAAGUCUCUUGUGAAAUCCCGUGUCUCAAGCGCGGGGCGUGCGGGAGGUACUGGCGAACUAGAGAUCGGUAGACGUAAGGAGUACGCUGGAGGUAGUGGUUAAAUACGUUAAUCUUCGGUGGACUAACAAUUUAGCGAAGGCACCUUACGAGGACGAGUCUGACAGUGAGGGAUGAAGGCCAGGGGC
rnacentral:rRNA from 1 species